CUUGGCGGCCAUAGCGCAGCGACCCACCUGAAUCCAUGCCGAACUCAGAAGUGAAACGUUGUAGCGCCGAUGGUAGUGUGGGGUUUCCCCAUGUGAGAGUAGGGAACUGCCAGGC
rnacentral:rRNA from 1 species